AUGGCGUCCACCUCCUGCUUCCUCCACCAGUCCACCGCGCGCCUGGCCGCCUCGGCGCGCCCUGCGCCCGCCGUCGGGCGCACCCAGCUUUUCGUCUGCAAGGCGCAGAAGAAUGACGAGGCUGCAUCUGACGCUGCCGUCGUCACCAGCCGGCGCGCCGCGCUGUCCCUCCUCGCCGGUGCCGCCGCCAUCGCCGUCAAGGUCUCCCCCGCCGCCGCCGCCUACGGAGAAGCAGCCAACGUGUUCGGCAAGGCGAAGAAGAACACGGACUUCGUGGCGUACAGCGGCGAGGGGUUCAAACUGAUGAUCCCGGCCAAGUGGAACCCCAGCAAGGAGCGUGAGUUCCCUGGGCAGGUGCUCCGCUACGAGGACAACUUCGACGCCACCAGCAACCUCUCCGUUAUAAUCAACCCCACUACCAAGAAGACCAUCACCGACUACGGUUCCCCUGAGGAGUUCCUCUCCCAGGUCGGCUUCCUCCUCGGCCAGCAGUCCUACGGUGGCAAGACCGACUCCGAGGGUGGGUUCGAGUCAGACGCUGUGGCGACGGCGAACGUGCUGGAGAGCUCGGCGCCGGUGGUGGACGGUAAGCAGUACUACAGCAUAACGGUGCUCACGAGGACCGCGGACGGAGACGAGGGAGGGAAGCACCAGCUCAUCACCGCCACCGUCGCCGACGGCAAGCUCUACGUCUGCAAGGCGCAAGCCGGAGACAAGAGGUGGUUCAAGGGCGCCAAGAAGUUCGUCGAGAACGCCGCAGGAUCCUUCAGCGUCGCAUAA
rnacentral:rRNA from 1 species